CAAGUCCCCGCGCGGCGGAGUAGCAAGGCGGGCGGGUAGAGGCCGACGCGCGCCCAUUGGCCGACUCGGCUGCGGGCGUCCCCGUGGCCACGUGACAAUAACACCGCUCCAGCCGGGGGCCUACGCGCGGGAGAAAGUGGAGCUGAGAUUGUAGGAAAUUCAGAGUUAUAUUUUCCAGCCUCUCCAGCCAGAAGUCUCCACUACGUCGUGGGAAACAUAUAUCAAAUGGAGUUGAAAGGCAAAAGGAAGUGAUCAGCGCCACAAGAUGUUGAAACUAAUGGAGACCGCAGAGAUCAUGUGCUAAGGGGCCUUCCUCCUCUGGGGUGGGAGAAGGAAUGUUCUCUGGAGAAAUCUGUAUGAUAGAAUAGUGAAGGUAACUGGCCUGAACUACAGCUCUUGAGCCAUCUGGUUUCACCUUCAGGGAGCUUCAGGAGAGAUUUGAUGAAAAAAAUUAUAUUUUGGCAUCAUCUUGACUCUUGAACUUACUCCCAGAUCAGCUACAAAUUUGUCCUAUGGCCUGAGGCACUGAAAACACGACAGAGCUCUGCAAUAAUUUCCAGUCAGACCAGACAACCUAGUUAUUCCCUUUUCCCAGGUGUCCCGGUGACCUAUAUUAUUGUCAACAACAAGGCAUUACUUCAGCUUCAAGUCUUGCAAAAUCUACUGGAUUGGAAGACCAGAUAUUCAUUUCACCAUUUAGCUGAAAAUGCACAGUACAUUUUAGAAUGAUGGGGUUUGUUUAGCUCAUCUAUCCGUCCAUCCUUACUUUUAUUCUAUUGGGUUCUUAAUUCAAAAGAAAGACUGCCACCUACUGGAUGUGUGAUACGAAGAAGAUAUUAGCAUUAAAAUAUACUCUCUCAUUAAAGGUUGAUUCAAAAUAAUUGCAGAAGAAAAUAUUCAAAAGAAUGUCCAAUUUUUACAGAUAAGUAUUGAACAUAUUUCCUUAAAUGAUUUUAUUAUCAGCAAAUACUGAAUAAAAAUUAUUUAACAAUGUCCAUCUAAUUAUUUAGAAAUAAAAUUCCUUCUUCCUGUUCUUAUUUUAAUACAUUAAAAAUUAAUUUACCUUUUUUCCAGUAAUAGGGAAUAAUUAAGUAUUCUCUUAUGUUGUCUGUAUAAAAAUAGAAUAAUGAUCUUGACAAUUUAAUACUAUUUUGUGAUACAAAAACUCAGGUUAUAGAAAUACUA
rnacentral:lncRNA from 1 species